rnacentral:rRNA from 1 species
CCUACGGGAGGCAGCAGUGGGGAAUAUUGCGCAAUGGGCGAAAGCCUGACGCAGCGACGCCGCGUGAGGGAUGAAGGUCUUCGGAUCGUAAACCUCUGUCAGUAGGGAAGAACGGUCACUGUGCUAAUCAGCAGUGAAUUGACGGUACCUGCAAAGGAAGCACCGGCUAACUCCGUGCCAGCAGCUGCGGUAAUACGGAGGGUGCGAGCGUUAAUCGGAAUUACUGGGCGUAAAGCGCUCGUAGGCGGUAUGUCAAGUCAAGGGUGAAAUCCCCGCGCUCAACGUGGGAACUGCCUUUGAAACUGGCAAACUGGAGUGUGUGAGAAGAUAGUGGAAUUCCAGGUGUAGGAGUGAAAUGCGUAGAUAUCUGGAGGAACUUCAGUGGCGAAGGCGACUAUCUGGCACAUAACUGACGCUGAGGAGCGAAAGCGUGGGUAGCAAACAGGAUUAGAUACCCCAGUAGUC